rnacentral:tRNA from 1 species
AGUAGGGUCAGCUAAUUAAGCUCUUGGGCCCAUACCCCAAACAUGUUGGUUAAACUCCUUCCUCUACUA